UACGUAGGGGGCAAGCGUUGUCCGGAUUUAUUGGGCGUAAAGAGCGUGUAGGCGGCCAAGCAGGUCCGCUGUGAAAACUCGAGGCUCAACCUCGAGACGUCGGUGGAAACCGUUUGGCUAGAGUCCGGAAGAGGAGAGUGGAAUUCCAGGUGUAGCGGUGAAAUGCGUAGAUAUCUGGAGGAACACCGGUGGCGAAGGCGGCAUCCUGGACCGGUAUUGACGCUGAUGCGCGAAAGCCAGGGGAGCAAACGGG
rnacentral:rRNA from 1 species